rnacentral:misc_RNA from 1 species
GUGUAUGCUUAAAGCCAGGCGACUCUGCCCAUUUAAAGACACCCAAUGCAGAUUCACAAUCAUACUUAAACCGAGAAAGCUGUAUAUCAUUACACACUUAACAGCGCACCCCCUAAAUUUAAAUAUCAUAUGUAAAAUUUACCCUAUUCUUUAGUUGAACGUCAAAGAAAAUUCACGUCUGUAAACGUAAUCUAUCUAAGACAUGUAAACACCAUGAAGACGAAGCACCACCAGCUCACACUUGCUAACAAUCUGCCAUACUCGCACUCCAUAACUAGUAUGUGGAAAGAAACUAAUGAAAUUUAAGGUUGAGCGAACACAAGGAAAGUAACCAAUAAAAUUAAAAUUUGAAACCACACAUACAUGUGAAGGCAGGUUAGUACUCCCAUCAAAAGACUAUUCAAGACUUAAAUGCCUUGCGACUCUAUUUGACACAACAUCCAUACAGAAUUACAGGUAAUAUCCCUCAUAAUGUUUUAUCUUUCUUUACACACCUCAAACAUCUUUUCAGAACACGUGAUAAGCUUUUUUUUUUUUUU